GCUCAACUAAGUGAGGCGAUUGUCGUAUUAACUGGAGUAGCAGCGCCCGCUGUCCACUGCUGCGACCGUCAGAAAAAAAUGGUCCAUGAAAAUGAUCUGUUCUCGUGAAUUUAUCAGAGAUUGGUCACAGGUCUGGCCAGAACCAUCACUCAGUCCAGAUCCGGACCGAGGUCUGCCAUUUGGUGAUUCCAGCUUGAGGGGCUCUGUAA